UACGGAGGAUGCGGGCGUUAUCCGGAUUUAUUGGGUUUAAAGGGUGCGUAGGCGGCCUUGUAAGUCAGCGGUGAAAUUUUGCAGCUUAACUGUAAAAGUGCCGUUGAUACUGUGAGGCUAGGAUUUGGUUGCUGUGGGUGGAAUGUGUGGUGUAGCGGUGAAAUGCUUAGAGAUCACACAGAAUAUCGAUUGCGAAGGCAGCUCACAAAGCCAAGAUUGACGCUGAGGCACGAAAGUGCGGGGAUCAAACAGGAUUA
rnacentral:rRNA from 1 species